CUGGGGUCCCAAGGGCAGUCCAGACAACCUGAACCUGUGACACUCACCCUGCCCACACACUCUCAGAGCUGCAGCUUUCACGGGGGUGACAUGAAUGCUUGUAAAUGAGCUUGCUGAAUGGGAGACCAAGAACGAUGAUAUUGAGCUGUUACUACAUGCCAGACAUUUAACCCUUUCAUCCAGGUUAUCUCAAUCAUUCCUUACAGAAAGGCUUUUGAGAUGUCCUUGCAACUGGAGGUGCCAUAUGAUACAGUUCUGCCCAAAGACAAGAAAGUGAAUGUCUGUUGAGGGCUUCCUAUAAGGCCAAUACAUACAGGUGUUCCCAACAACAGGACACAGCAAGAAGAUGGCUGUCUAUGAACCUGAAUAUGUCUAGCCCUCACCAGACACUGAAUCUGAGAGAACCUUGAUCUUGGAUUUCCAGCCUCCAGAGUUGUGAGAGCUAAAUUUCUGUUGUUUGUAAACCACCCAGUCUAUGGUAUUCUGUUACAGCAGCCUGAACAGGCUAAUAUAAAGACAAUAAGGAGAAUUUGCUAGCAAGAUGGAAGCCACAAUCUUUUGUAACCUAAUCACAGAAGUGACAGCCUAUCACUUUUGCCUUAUUGUGUUUAUUAGAAGCAAGUCACUAGGUCUAGCCUACCCUCAGGGGAAAGAAAUUCCACCAGGGCACAAAUGCCAGGAGAUGGGUAUCAGUGGAGACCAUCUGAGAAGUCUGCCUACUAAGGCUUUCCAUGUCUACCUCCGAACAAGGGAAUCUAUCAUGAUUAUUGCAUGUGCCCUGAGCACUGGGUUUAGAUGACAUUAAGCAGAAUCAAGGUAAUUGUUCAGGAAACCUUCAGCGGGAGAGUCUGCCCUGUGUCUAGUUUCUCUUUUGCUUCAGAAAAUACUUACUUGAAUUGUUUCUAACUUAAUAAUACUUUGUGUUACCUGAGGGUCUCUAAAGGCUUGGUAAGCAUCAGAACAAAAAAUUUCUUCUCCACUUUCUAGGAGUUCUUAGAUCAUUAUUUUGCUGGUACAGUAACUGGCUCUCCUAAUCCACUGUGAAGCUUGCUUAUUUACUGUGCGGAUGGUUUGGACCAUCAAAAGUGUAGAGUUAAAAUAACCAGGGGAGAGAAUAUUAGACCCAGAAUCAAAGUAGCCUAAAGUUACCUCUUUAGGUACCUUGUUUCUCCCAUGUGCAAACUGUAAGCUCAAGUGUCUUUUCUCAGGUGGUCACAAUGUAGUUUGAGACUAGAGGGAUUGUGGAUGAAGAUGCUCUGAGUUAUUUAGAAGAGAUGCACUACAUCAGUAAUGGAUGGUUGUUAUUUGAUUAAAAUGGCUAAUUUUAAAAUCUUCAUUUUCUCUCAGUUAUAUUGCUCCUAUGUUAUGUCAAACACUGCUCAUGUCUUGCCUUGUUCCCCUCUCCCUCUGUUCUGCAUGCUACAGCUGUAAUAGUGUUUAUGAGAUGCUAAACUGACCAUAUCACUCCUCUACUAAAACUUUACAAUGAUAUGCAAAGGUCAUCAUACUAGAGUGUCAA
rnacentral:lncRNA from 1 species